AGCGAACGCUGGCGGCAGGCCUAACACAUGCAAGUCGAACGAACCUUUCGGGGUUAGUGGCGGACGGGUGAGUAACACGUGGGAACGUGCCUUUAGGUUCGGAAUAACUCAGGGCAACUUGUGCUAAUACCGAAUGUGCCCUUCGGGGGAAAGAUUUAUUGCCUUUAGAGCGGCCCGCGUCUGAUUAGCUAGUUGGUUGAGGUAAUGGCUCACCAAGGCGACUAUCAGUAGCUGGUCUGAGAGGAUGAUCAGCCACAUUGGGACUGAGACACGGCCCAAACUCCUACGGGAGGCAGCAGUGGGGAAUCUUGCGCAAUGGGCGAAAGCCUGACGCAGCCAUGCCGCGUGAAUGAUGAAGGUCUUAGGAUUGUAAAAUUCUUUCACCGGGGACGAUAAUGACGGUACCCGGAGAAGAAGCCCCGGCUAACUUCGUG
rnacentral:rRNA from 1 species